ACCAGGAUGGCCAAUUGGUUAAGGCGUUGGACUCAAAUUCAAAUGUACGGAUGUACGCGUGGGUUCGAACCCCACUCCUGGUA
rfam:Nematostella vectensis strain CH2 x CH6 NEMVEscaffold_350_Cont24649, whole genome shotgun sequence.